AGCAGCCUGUUCCUGGCCGCCCGCUUGUCCUUCUCUCAACUCGACUCUGGGAAUAGAUCACUGCGUGUAGAUUCCCGACCCAGUUGGUGCCUAUGUGGACCAGGAUUUGGGGCUGCUCUCUCUCCCCUGCAAGGAUCCCAAAAGCAUGAUCAGAGACAUCACAAGUCCUGGCACCUGGGAGGCAACACACCAACUGACUCCCAGCUGCUGUUCAUUCUUCUGCAGCAUGAGAGAGAUCGGGAUCAGCUUCUCCUCUACCUACUUACCCAACAUCUCACGAGAUUUCGCGAGCUACUUCACCAGGGCCUGGUCGGUAAUCGAGUCCAAGGAUCCUGCAGGCUAGGGCGCGGGCCUGGCCUUGGAUGCUCUCCUCCCUUCUUCGGCAUCUCUGGACAGUGAAAACACAGUGGAAGCUCAACAUUUGUGACAAUACUGCUGCAAGCUUACGAAGAGGUAACUUGUAGUUAAUUACUCGGAUGUUCUGCUCCCAGUUUACAGGAGAAAGUGAAGACUGCAGAUACUGGAGAUCAGAGCUGAAAAUGUGUUGCUGGAAAAGUGCAGCAGGUCAGGCAGCAUCCAAGGAGCAGGAGAAGCGACAUUUCGGGCAUGAGCCCUUCUUCAGGAAUUGUUCUGUUUAUUUCAGUAUGAGACCAUGGACGCAAUGUUGAAAUUACUUGACCUGUUUCAAUAAACUUAGUGCGUUAUUGUGAAUUAUAGAACUUCCUGUACUGAUUGCAUGCUUAUUGAC